rnacentral:lncRNA from 1 species
CCGGGGAUUUCUGCUUUCGGGUAUAACAAUGCACGCGUGAGGGGGGGGUGUUAACGAGGGGAACCCCCGAGGUUGGGUAGGAGAGAAAGAGCUUCCCUUAAGGGUGAUUUGAAAGGAAUUCGAGUCACCCUGGAGGAAGGGUGAAUCUCCCAGCUCGUCCAACCUCCUGGCCUUGGCAGUUUGGAGGACAGGUGGUAGCCCCAGGAGAAGAGGAAGAAUGGGGGUGUCCCAGCGUGGUGACGUCUGUCUCUUCGGCCACAGGCCGCUUACCCUGCCGCCUACGGCAUUACUGAUUCCAGCCAGGGACUCGCUGCUUUUAGAUCAUGACUCUCCUUUCAAGACGACCCUCAGGCCGAACCGCUGAAACAUCCAACUCUGGCCCCAUAGCCCAGAAAAGGCGAACCCGACGGUGGGAUGCACCAUUUGAGCGCCUGGGAUACCCGGUCGAAGUAUUUUUCGGGUGAAAAGGGGUGCUCAUGGGGCUUAGGCCUGUCCCACUCCCCUUGGCCUCCCAGCAUUCCCAGCUGGUCGCCCACCACUUUGCGAUCACCCAUCUUCAAAGCCACUAGUCAGCCAUAACCCUCUGCUAGGCUGACUUCCCUUGGUCCCUCUGGUUUGGCAUUGCAGAUGGGCUUUAUCUAGGGAUAUUGUGCGGAUUUUCUUUUCUUUUCUUUUUUUCUUUCUCCUUCUCCUUCUCCUUCUCCUUCUCCUUCUUCUUCUCUAGAUUAGCCUGAGGAACUGGAAUGUGAUUGUUUCGAGACAAUCGACCACGGGCGUGAAGGUGGGGGGCAGUGUUCACAGCAGGGGUAAGGGAAAUGGGGAGGUGAUUCUGUACAGAUCCUGGAGACACUGGAGGCAGGCUUUUAAAACCACUAAUCGUUUCUGUUUUCGGAGUGCUGAAAAUCCCUCAGUAAAAGCCAUGAAUCCACCCAGCUCAGAAGUGC